UGCAACUUGAAAACUUCUUCAUGAAGUUUCAACAAUUUUUAUUGGAGUCAACAAUUGUGGCUUUAAUAUUCAACAUUGUUCUCUCUCCAUUCAUUAAAAAGAAGGUAACAGAAGUUCGGGACGUUUUUGGACAAAAAGAGGACGAUAAGAAUCUGUGCCCCACAUAAUUUCCAGCAACAUUACCAAAAAUAAAAAACAUCAAACUGAUAUCACAUAAUUUAUCGUGGCUGUGCAUCUUUCAAUUUCGGCAGAUUUUUCACGUACGCACACAAAAUCCAACUUCAUCAACAAUAGUUGAAUAAUCACUAUGUCCCUUAAAAAAAAAUCCUCUCUGAUUUUCUUCAUCCCUUCGGAACCCAAGACCAACUCUAACAAAGAAACCACCAUUAACCUUGUCCCAGAGUCCCCAACAGCAACUAUCCACGACCCAUUUAACAACACCGAGACAUCUGGUUUCUUCAACUUUCGAAACUGACCCAUUUGGGAUACCACGUGAGCUACAAGAAUGGAUUUGAGGACCACGGCGACUUCAAGUGAGAGAAUUGAUUUGGGGGAAAUUGAUUUUCGGAGUUUAGGGUUUGGUGAUUUCAUAGACAAACUCGUGUUUGGUUUUAUACGUCAAAGAUGUGUUCUAGACUAUUUUUUGACGUGGCGAUGACGGGGAAUUGAUUUGGCAAUAAUGGGACUCAAUUUACCACAUGGAAUGAGUUAACCAGACACGUCAUCAUUCCAUCCUCGACGUUAGCAACAAUUCAAACGGCAUCCAGUCGGGUGAGUGAUGGACACUAGCGGAGGAAAGUUUAGUGGCUAAUGGGACAACUCACAAAGUUCAGUGAGUAAAUCGCGACAUAGUACAAAGUUCAAUGGCCAAUGAAACAUUUAGAGUCUCUAUCUCUGGCGGAAUCUAUCCCUGCAUACCAGUUCUUCCUUCCAAUCUCUCACCGUCUCACACUCUCCCCUCUCUCUCCCAGCCAUGGGAACUCUUCAGGUUUUCCAUCAUUAGCGCGACCAAGCGGUUCAUCUAGGAGGCCGCUGCCGCCUUGCUGUCUCACUGGACGCCGUCGAAAGAGUAAUACUGUUCGAAGUAUUGGAGCUCUAACUAACUCUUCAAUUUCUGAUUUCUUUGGAAGUAUGAGACUUGGCUCAACCCCAAAGCCGUUGCAUUUACAAUACAAGCAGAGCAGAAGCAGUUUAUCUAUUUUCACCAUGGCCGCUAAUGGGAAAGUGUUUGAUAAACGGUCGAAAUGAUGCCAAUGAUGCCAUUGGCGAGGUUAAAGAGGGAGAUAAAGUGGCUGCCAAUUGUUCAAGCUUCCUUCAAUUGCUGAUUGUACUGCUGAUAUCUCAACCAACUCCUUCGUGGCUUUCCAAUUCAUUUGCUUUGUCGGCUGCCUGGUUGAAUUCCAAUAAAUAAAGUUGGGAGCUUGGAAUGGCAAAGAGUUCAUUCAAGCAAGAAUAUGAUCUUGAGAAGAGGUGUGCUGAAGCUAAAGUACAGUAGAAGUAACAGUAGCAGGAAUAUUAUGAUUGCAAAAUCAGGUAUGACUAUGCAAAUAGGCCUCAAGAAGGUUUGUCCCAGGUAGGGAAAUCAAUUUGAAGAUGUGUAAGAAUUCAAGCGACAUUUAUUACUUCCAAAGUUGAAAAUUUUGAAUAAAUUCCCAGUAACUCAAUAUUAAUCAGUUCGAUAGGAUUCCAUACAUCUGAGUACUACUUUCACCAAGGUUUCCUUAUUUUGAGGUAACAUUGGACUUUUUUUCACCCUACUAAUAACUGAUCAAUUUUCUAUUUUCACUGCCACUCAAGUGAGUUAUUGUGGCAACAGGAGUCUAGCUCUAAGUUGUAAUAAUUCAUAUCUUGUGGCUGCAUCAGUUGCAAACUGAAUGUGGGCGGCUUGAAUCUUAUUGGUGCUUUUGGUACUCAUUAUUACAUUGGCUUCUGCUGAAUUCAUUCUUUUUCUACCUUGGUUUAGUAGAGGUUAUCAGUUGGUACACUUUUGUGUAAUAUGAAGCACAUGGAGUAAAUUGUUACGUUAACCAAAAAAAAAAAGGUUAAAAUAGGAAAAGAAAAAAUUGGAUAGUUUGAGAAUUCGGAUUCCAUUUGUCAGUUACUGAUUUUAUGCUGUUCAGAAGGUUAUUGAUUUAAUGCAUUUCGUUUUACAAUUUCUAUGAAAAUUCCUAGGAAGGAGAUUUAAUUACUUUAAGUUACUGGGGAUGAAGGUUCUGUCCAAGAGAAUGGCAAGGAAUUGCUUGUGUCUGUGGGGACUCUAGAGUUCUGGAGGCAGAGCAGAAAUAGAAAAAGUAACCAGAUGCUCUGGGGAUAUGAGUUCUCGUAAAAUUGUUACACCUCCACGAUGAUUUCUGUUCAGUCUCACACUCUCUUUUUCUAUUAGCUUCCAAGGGAGUUGAUCCAUCUGCCACAGCACCAGAAAUUAAGAAGGCUUAUCGAAAAGCUGCACUCAAAUAUCACCCUGACAAGGCUGGUCAAUCCUUGCCUAGAAAUGAAAAUGGAGAUGAUGGGCUUUGGAAAGAAAUAGCAGAAGAAGUACAUAAAGAUGCAGACAGGCUCUUCAAAAUGAUUAGGGAGGCAUGUGCAGUACUUUCAGACCCCACAAAGGUUUGUUUCAAUUCUAAAUGAUUACAGGUUAUCCACCUCUUUUUAUCCUUUUCAUAAUACACACAAAAUCCUCUGGCAUGAUAUUGUCAAGUUCAAGUUAGAGAAGUGAUCCUGGUGGUUGGAGGUAGUAAAGUAUAUGCAUCUGAACCGUAUUAUUAUCGAGUUAGUCUGAUGGGGUGUAAUGUUAAUCAUUGACUUGUGGUUCUCCAUUAUGUGUUUCCCAGGCCUGCAAUACAAAUUUAUGUUGAACUUUGUAAAUUUGCUCAUUUAAGUACUUUAUUUUUUAGAGAGAGA